UACGUAGGGUGCAAGCGUUAAUCGGAAUUACUGGGCGUAAAGGGCUCGUAGGCGGCCAACUAAGUCAGACGUGAAAUCCCCAGGCUUAACCUGGGAACUGCGUCUGAUACUGGAUGGCUUGAAUUCGGGAGAGGGAUGCAGAAUUCCAGGUGUAGCGGUGAAAUGCGUAGAUAUCUGGAGGAAUACCGGUGGCGAAGGCGGCAUCCUGGACCGACAUUGACGCUGAUGAGCGAAAGCUAGGGGAGCAAACGGG
rnacentral:rRNA from 1 species